GGCGGUGGAGCCCAUCAGAACAUAGUGGCGGGGAAGGGGGGACAGUCCGCACUCACGGUGGCGUCGGCGGCGACGGCUGAGGGUGGUGGAGGGAAGAAAAGCGACGGAGAGCAAAAGGAAGGGCAGGCAGGCAAACAACUCGGCGUAGAACCGAGCGCUGGCUCGAGCGAAGGCAGAGGGCCAGAACAGUGGGGAUGGCGGAGCCACGCAGAGUAGCGUUUAUUAGCCUGUCACCGGUGAGGCGGCGCGAGGCCGAGUUCCCGGGGGCCGAACGCGAGCCCGACUACCCUCGCGAGCCCCCCCGACUGGAGCCGCAGCCGUACCGCGAGCCGGCCCGGGCGGAGCAGUCGGCCCCGCGGGAGGUUGCCCCCCGGUCGGACGCGCAGCCCCCGCCGCGGGAGAAGCCGCUCCCCCAGCGCGAGGUCAGCCGCGCCGAGCCGCCCAUGUCGCUGCAGCGCGAGCCCCCUAGGCCCGAGCCGCCGCCGCCGCCGCCGCUCCCGCAGUUGCACUUGCAGCCGCCUCCGCCGCGGGAGUCGGCUUCCCGGGCCGAGCCGCAGCAGAGGCCGUCGAAGGAGACAGUGCGCCUGGAGCUGGUGCUCAAGGAUCCCACCGACGAGAGCUGCGUGGAGUUCAGCUACCCGGAGCUGUUGCUGUGCGGAGAACAACGGCAGAAGAAGCCCAUUUACAUGGAAGACCCGUUCAAUGAUGAUCAUCAAGAGAGGCAAGAAGUGGAAAUGUUGGCUAAGAAGUUUGAAAUGAAAUAUGGUGGGAAGCCCCGUAAACACCGGAAGGAUCGGCUACAAGAUUUAAUCGAUAUAGGCUUUGGCUAUGAUGAGACAGAUCCAUUUAUUGAUAAUUCAGAGGCUUAUGACGAAUUAGUUCCUGCUUCUCUAACAACAAAAUAUGGAGGGUUUUAUAUCAACACUGGCACUCUCCAGUUUCGCCAAGCUUCAGAUACUGAAGAAGAAGAUAUUACAGACAACCAAAAGCACAAGCCACCCAAAAUUCCCAAAAUGAAAGAAGAUGAUAUUGAGAUGAAGAAGCGGAAGCGGAAAGAGGAAGGGGAAAAGGAGAAGAAGCCAAGGAAAAAAGUACCGAAACAACUGGGAGUUGUGGCUCUAAAUUCACACAAAUCUGAAAAAAAGAAGAAACGUUAUAAAGAUUCUCUUUCUCUAGCUGCCAUGAUAAGAAAAUUUCAAAAAGAGAAGGAUGCAUUAAGGAAGGAGUCUAACCCUAAAGUCCCAGUGAACUUCUCGACCUCCUCUCUGCAUAAAACCCCCUCUGCUGCUGUGGCAUUGGGGAAUGAUGUCUCGGACUUAAAUCUGAAUAGUGCUGAUCCGGACCUCCCCAUUUUUGUUAGCACAAAUGAACAUGAACUAUUUCAGGAAGCUGAAAAUGCCCUAGAGAUGCUAGAUGAUUUUGACUUUGACAGAUUACUGGAUGCUGCUUCUAAUGGUAGCCCCCUGUCUGAGUCAGGAGGAGAGAAUGGAAACACCACCCAGCCAACCUAUGCCUCUCAAGUUAUGCCCAAGGUGGUACCUACACUCCCAGAGGGUCUGCCUGUCCUUCUUGAAAAACGUAUCGAAGACCUCCGUGUAGCUGCCAAACUUUUUGAUGAAGAAGGAAGGAAAAAAUUCUUUACACAGGAUAUGAAUAAUAUUCUUCUGGACAUUGAGUUACAGCUGCAGGAACUAGGCCCUGUCAUUCGUAGCAGUGUCUACUCCCACCUUGAAGCUUUUGUGCCAUGCAAUAAAGAAACACUGGUAAAACGUCUAAAGAAGUUACAUCUCAAUGUCCAGGAUGAUCGUUUAAGAGAACCUCUGCAAAAACUGAAACUGGCUGUUAGCAAUGUCAUGCCUGAACAGCUAUUUAAAUACCAGGAGGACUGCCAGGCUCGCAAUCAAGCUAAGUGUGCCAAGUUUCAAACAGAUGAAGAACGAGAAAAAAAUGGAUCUGAGGAAGAUGAUGAUGAGAAACCAGGGAAACGUGUCAUAGGACCAAGGAAGAAAUUCCACUGGGAUGACACCAUUAGAACUUUGUUAUGUAACCUUGUUGAGAUCAAAUUGGGAUGCUAUGAGUUAGAGCCAAAUAAAAGCCAGUCUGCUGAGGAUUAUCUUAAAUCCUUUAUGGAGACAGAGGUGAAACCAUUGUGGCCUAAGGGCUGGAUGCAGGCAAGAAUGCUUUUUAAGGAAAGUCGGAGUGUACAUAAUCAUCUUACUUCUGCUCCGGCAAAGAAAAAGGUGAUUCCUGCACCUAAACCCAAAGUGAAGGAGUGUAGUCCAAAAAAGGACCAGAAAACUCCUGCAUCCUUGGUGGCUUCAGUUGGUGGCCCUUCAACGAGCUCUAGCACAUCUGCUGUGGCCUCCACCAGUUCUAGCUCUACACCGGCCCAGGAGACGAUCUGCCUUGAUGACUCACUAGAUGAAGAACUUUCUUUUCAUCCGCCUGCACUGGAUCUUGUUUCUGAAGCUUUAGCUGUUAUCAACAACGGGAACAAGGGCCCUCCAUCUGGCUCAAGGAUAAGUAUGCCAACUGCAAAACCUCGUCCAGGACUGAGAGAGGAAAAAUUAGCAAGUAUCAUGAGUAAACUGCCACUGGCUACUCCCAAAAAACUAGAUUCUACUCAGACCGCACAUUCAUCAAGUCUUAUUGCUGGCCACACAGGGCCAGUACCAAAGAAACCCCAAGAUUUAGCUCAUACUGGCAUCUCUUCAGGCCUUAUUGCUGGUUCUUCAAUUCAGAACCCUAAAGUUUCCUUAGAACCUUUGCCAGCCAGGCUACUUCAACAAGGACUACAGAGGUCAAGCCAGAUUCAUGCUUCUUCCUCUUCGCAGACCCAUGUCUCCUCUUCUUCCCAAGCCCAAGUUGCUGCCUCCUCUCACGCUCUGGGAACAUCAGAGGCCCAAGAUGCUUCUUCGUUAACACAAGUAACAAAGGUGCACCAGCAUUCAGCUGUCCAACAGAACUAUGUGUCUCCAUUACAAGCAACUAUUAGUAAAUCACAGACCAAUCCAGUGGUGAAAUUAAGUAAUAAUCCCCAACUUUCCUGUUCAUCCCCACUUAUUAAGUCUUCAGAUAAGCCACUUAUGUACCGCCUUCCCUUAUCUACUCCCACACCUGGAAAUGGUUCUCAAGGGUCCCACUCCCUGGUUUCUAGGACAGUACCUAGCACCACUACCUCCAGUAACUAUUUAGCCAAGGCAAUGGUGUCACAAAUCUCCACGCAGGGUUUCAAAUCUCCCUUCUCAAUGGCUGCAUCCCCAAAACUUGCCGCAUCUCCGAAACCUGCCACGUCUCCUAAACCCUUGCCCUCACCUAAGCCGUCUGCCUCACCCAAGCCCUCUCAGUCAGCUAAGCCUUCAGUAUCAACUAAACUUAUUUCUAAAUCCAACCCAACUCCCAAACCUACUGUAUCCCCAAGUUCUUCCAGUCCAAAUGCACUAGUGGCCCAGAGUAGCCACUCUAGCAGUAACAACCCAGUCCAUAAACAGCCCAGUGGAAUAAACAUCAGCAGACAGUCUCCCACCUUGAAUUUAUUGCCCUCUAAUCGCACUUCAGGCCUUCCAUCUACAAAAAAUCUUCAGGCCCCUCCAAAGCUAACAAACUCAUCAUCCACUGGAACUGUCGGCAAGAAUAGCUUGAGUGGAAUUGCAAUGAAUGUACCGGCCAGCAGAGGUAGCAACCUUAACUCAAGCGGAGCUAAUAGGACUAGUCUAUCUGGGGGAACAGGAAGUGGAACACAGGGUGCUACUAAACCGUUGUCUACUCCACAUAGAUCAUCCUCUGCCUCAGGGUCGUCAGUGGUAACAGCCAGUGUGCAGUCCACAGCAGGAGCAUCAUUAUUGGCUAAUGCCUCACCUCUGACUCUCAUGACAUCACCUUUGUCUGUAACAAAUCAAAAUGUGACUCCUUUUGGGAUGCUGGGUGGCCUUGUUCCAGUGACCAUGCCCUUCCAGUUUCCCUUGGAGCUACUUGGCUUUGGAACGGACACAGCUGGAGUGACAGCCACCUCGGGAUCUACCUCAGCCGCUUUCCACCAUAGCCUAACUCAGAAUUUACUAAAGGGUUUACAGCCAGGAGCUCAGCAUGCAGCAACACUUUCCCACUCACCUCUGCCUACACAUUUACAGCAAACAUUUAAUGAUGGAGGCCAAAGUAAAGGGGACACUAAAUUACCACGGAAAUCUCAGUGACUUCCAGCAAGCAAAGGAGAUGACACACUUGGCUGGCUGAUGGAAUCUACCUGAUGGAAAAGUACUCAUGUGGUCAUAGGGCUGCUGUUCUGUCGAUGUUUACAUUCUCUCGUCCCAAGCACUGUGUUUCACCAGAAACCCCAAAGGCUGAGAACAAAACAGUAGGUGCCAAGUCCAUCCACAUUCUAAAGGGAAAAGGAGCUAGAUCACCUGUGCACCACAUGCUAAGAGAUUGUGAACUAGAUACUGGGAAGCACUGGCUCAGUGCUGGGAAGGAAGAGCUCGGCACCCACCUUCAGGCUCUGUGAGAGAAUGUGAGAAGAUUCCUUUGGAAGCAGCUGUCAGUAUGCUGGACGUUUCCAUUCCGCUCCCCAAGCAGGAGAGGGUGGAGGUGCUUCCUCUUCACCUCAUGCCAAAUGAGGAGGCUUCUAGAGGACCAUUGGGGGAGCGUGACACAUCCUGUGGAGUAUGAGGGACACAGAAACUGGUGUCUGACUCACUCCUAAAAGUCUAAAGACAAAUGAGAAGUAGGUGGCUAGCUCCUGGAGAAGACAGAAAAGGAGAGAAGGCUGCAAUGGGAAUGGUUUACACUCCCAAAGUUUCCGAGUUCCUGUGAGCCUGAUGUGGUUCUCAAGAAAGGGAGCCAGAUUUGGUCAUUUUAAGAAGGAACCCAGCCAAAGGGAACACCUGGACGGAUGGAAUGACCUCAGUGGAGGGGAGGCUCCUGGAAACUAAGGGGCCGGGGCAGGAAUUCUAAGUAACUAGAGAAGGCAUGGCCUACAAGGGAACUACAGCUGAGAGAUCCCCAGAGAAGGAGAAACUAUUGAGAACCUAUAAAAAAAGAAGCAACACUGGAAUCUGCUGCUCCCGGAGGACACGGACACCAGCUUAUCUCUACCAACAAAGUAAGACCUUACCUCUUUCUUCUUUCCCUUGCUGUAACCGGCCCACAGGCCUGGAAGAGCAGCCAGCAAGGGGGCAGGAGGUAGUGAGAAACAGAAAUGACACUGAUCCUGACCCCCGUUCUCCUUCACAUUUCCAGACUGGAGGAGGAGAGAAAUGUUAAAUUAACUGACAUUUGAAGUUUUGAUCUGAUCCUGGAUGAGACUUGUUCAUACCUAGAAAAAAGAGACUAUUCUUAAAAUGAUCAUGAUAACUCUUUAACCUGUUUGUCACCUAAAAGAGUAAAGCUGUAAACUUCAUCCAACCAUAAGAACAAAUCAUUACAGCAAGUGUGUAGGGGCGCUCAUGAGAAAACAAAGUUGCUUUCUGUUUAUACAAGUCUAGCUUGUUCCAGGAAGAGGUUGCCUUUGAAGAGCAGAAGAGUAGGUGGGACGUGUCCUACUGCCCUAACUGCCCAUUUUUCACCCUGUGGCAGCCUCAGCUGACAAUGGGGAGAGGUCUUAAGCAAUGACGCUUGGAGUUUUAAUGUUAAACAGACUGGACUUUUUUAAAACCAAAGGAAAAAAAAAAAAGCCAACUGUCCUGUUAUUUCCUAGGAAAGCUGUGUGAGCCACCCACGAUUUCAUGCCGGAGAGGAAGAAAUCCACAAGCAGCAGUGGAAGGAGGAAUAAAUUGCUCUCUGCUUGUAUCUAGCAAGUCCAGCUUGCUGGGUAAUAGUCACCUCUACUUCUGAGUAUUAUAAUGUACUGCAGUCUAUAUGCUACAGGAUGUUAUCAGUAAGGUUAAUUUGCUUAAGAGUAAGACAUUUAAAUGGCAGAAACUACUAUGUAAUGGGAAGUAAACGACAUAAAAAUCUGUAAACUACACAGAUGGAAUGAUUAUCUUGCUGAAAAGUAUUUACAAGAGUUGUCAAACUUAAAAAUUACCUAUUUUUCUUUUGCAAAAGAGGCAAGUGUUUCUCAUUUGCUGUCCUCCUCUGUGAUGACAAGAGGGUAUGAGGAGUAUGCUGCUGUGUGGUCUGCAGUCUGGUUUUUGGCAGCCAGCAUUCAUUCCCAUAUCCUUAUGUAUUACAGGGGCUAGAUUUAUGGAAACAUUCCCAAACUCCUUGCCUUCAAGGUUCUGGAUGUGAUUUCUUUCUGCUAGAUGUAUUCAUGAGGUAUUUUGUAGGUGGGAGGAAAAAGUGAUAUUUUUUCUUCUGGCAGCACCUAGCAAAACGGGCAGGCCAUGGGAGACUUAAAGUUCUGCCGUAGCUCCCAAGUAAUCUAUCAGCCCCUACGUGAGCACUUGGGGACCAGCUCUGAUCAGCAGUGGGGGGACCUGUAUUUUUCUGACCUAGGUGAUAGCAGCAACCUCCCAAUACUCUGAACUGCUGAACGUUAGUGGCAGCUUUCCUUAACUCCUGCAGCUCUUCUAAUAGUGCCGUGAAGCGUCUACUGAAUUGAAUGCCCUGCACUCAGUUCCUUUCUGUUUGAAAAGCCUGCAGUGGUUUCUCUUUUUCUGACUGAGCCCUGAUGGAUACAGGUGCAUAGCUGAUCUUCUGAAAGAAAUGAACAUACUUAAUGGGUCCUUUUAAGCUAAAAGUGAUAUUUUAAAGCUAAGUGAGGCACUGACUGCCUUUUUAAAAGAAACUCACGCAAUGAAGAAAUUUGAGAAUGGAUGUUUAGAAAUGUUUUAUCACUAUGUGAUUUUGUUGUCCCAAAUGAUGUGUUAAACCAAGAUUUUCAAAAUAAUAAAACAUACUGUAUUACAUUGCAUUUUCAAUAAAAUAAAGAAUAAUAAUCUUUCUUUACUGAGAGAAAUUAGUACUUUUUUACUGUUAAUAAAUAAAAUAAAAAUAUUUUCAAAA